CCCUUCCGGUCUUCGAGACCGCGUCUUCAACUCGCCGCAGGACCCCACGAAAGGUGGCCAGAAAUGCGGACGAGGCCGAAGUAACCCCUUGACUAUGAGUACCUUUUUGUUCCCUCGGCGGGCUCGCGCCCCGUCGCUGGGCCCAUCCAAACCCCCUUUGCAGUAGCAGUAUACCUCUGAUCGUGGGCACUUGAAUCUUUAC
rnacentral:misc_RNA from 1 species